ACGACACAGAGAAAGUAAUGGAGAGAGACAGAAGAAUAGAUUUCCAGACAGUUGUAGAAUGUAUGCCAAGACACAUUGUAAGAGCUAUAAAGAGAGAGGGAGAGAGAACAGGCAGAACCUGAUAUGUAAAUGAGCAGGGCAAAUGAAACUAACUUUUGACGACCCGAUGAUCCUUCAGACUGUGUUUCUAUUGAGAGAUAAAAGGCUGGUUGAAUGAGUUGUCUAUGAAAGCUACUUCAUCUGUAAGAAAACAGGCGUCUGCACCAGUGACUGGGUCAGUGCUCUAAAAUGAGUCUCUCUGGGGAGAGAGAGGGGGGCCCUGCCUCUAAAAUGCAUCUCUCUGGGGGACAUGACACCAAAGCUAAGAAACCAAUCCAGCAGGAGAGACCAGCCUCCCCUGUUCCCAGCUGUGUGUCCAUGAAGAGUGACCAGUCUAUGGAACAACCUUAAAGUUUAGAGAGGGAG